UACGGGGGGAGCAAGCGUUGUUCGGAUUUACUGGGCGUAAAGGGCGCGUAGGCGGUCGUGACAAGUCACUUGUGAAAUCUCCGGGCUUAACUCGGAACGGUCAAGUGAUACUGUCGGACUAGAGUACAGAAGGGGCAACUGGAAUUCUCGGUGUAGCGGUGAAAUGCGUAGAUAUCGGGAGGAACACCAAUUGCGAAGGCAGCUCGCUGGGACGUUACUGACGCUGAGACGCGAAAGCGUGGGGAGCAAACAGG
rnacentral:rRNA from 1 species